AAGAAGCUGAAUGUUUUCCAUUGACGUCACCUUUGUUGUGAAACCUGUCGACCUCGAUGCUCGACCCUCCUCUUCCUGUCACAAUAUGGGUUUCAGAGAAAAGGACCCCGAGCUGAAAACUUUCCACUCGAUCGAACCAAUCGCUGCUCGUAUGUCCUUUCAUGGUAAAGUACAUCUAGUCAUGAACACGGAAAUACGCAGCAAAGACCAAGCUACUCUCUGACAGUCACCAUCAGACCAUCAGACCACCAGAUGGACAGGCUGUGUGUCGCUCUGAUUACAUUCUUAUGUGCUGUUUCCUCCAGUCAGGAUGGGAUCUCUGCAGCAGAGGUGGAGCUGAGAGUCAGACCAGGAGACAACAUCACUCUCUACUGUGACUGUAGAACAACAACUGAAAUGUACACAGUCUGGUUCAGGCUCUCAUGAGCACCAGCCUCCUCUUGUUAUUACAUAUUAUAACCGUUUGUCAUCUCAUUUCCUCCAUCCUCUCCCUCAGUAUACAGUGUUCUGGAACCACUAUAACAAGUCCUAUGAUCUACUGAUUGAGAACAUCACUGAAUCUGACCUGGGACUCUACUACUGUGGGACUAUAGAGAGAAAUAUGGAGAAUGAAAAACGUAUUGAACAGAAAAAUAUCUACCACUCUGGACAUGUGAUGAGAAGGCUUUCAUUUGGUAAAAUCUAAAUAAUUCUCUAUUUAUUGAAUGGCUGUAUAUUUGGUUGUGGUAUAGCAUGUCUGUUUCCUUGAAUGAGAGGAGAAUGAGCUUGAUGAUCAUAGGUCUCCAUUUAUUCCUGAGUGUUUUGUCCAGAUACCAGAACACCUGAUGUGGACUGUGGUCUGUGUUGGAUGUUGCUGUUCAGUCUGUGUCCUGUGUCUGCUCUCCUCUCCUCUCUCCUCUCCUCCACCUGUGUCUACUCCUUCUGCAGAACAACAGCUCCAACUGAGACUCAGGUUCCUCUGAACAGGACGACCACCAGGGGAAGUGACAGCAGAGAGCAGACUACAGUCAGAUACCUAUGUAUCCAUCAAUACCAGCAGAGUGUGAGACCUAUACCAUCCAUCAAUACCAGCAGAGUGUGAGACCUAUACCAUCCAUCAAUACCAGCAGAGUGUGAGAUCUAUACCAUCCAUCAAUACCAGCAGUGUAAGACCUAUACCAUCUAUCAAUACCAGUGGAGUGUGAGACCUAUACCAUCUAUCAAUACCAGUGGCGUGUGAGACCUAUACCAUCUAUCAAUACCAGUGGAGUGUGAGACCUAUACCAGCCAUCAAUACCAGUGGAGUGUGAGACCUAUACCAGCCAUCAAUACCAGUAGAGUGUGAGACCUAUACCAUCCAUCAACACCAGCAGAGUGUAAGACCUAUACCACCCAUCAAUAACAGCAGAGUGAGACCUAUAUAAUCCAUCAAUACCAGCAGAGUGAGACCUAUACCAUCCAUCAAUACCAGCAGAGUGAGACCUAUACCAUCCAUCAAUACCAGCAGAGUGAGACCUAUACCAGCCAUCAAUACCAGCAGAGUGUGAGACCUAUACCAUCCAUCAAUACCAGCAGAGUGUGAGACCUGUACCAUCCAUCAAUACCAGCAGAGUGAGACCUAUACCAGCCAUCAAUACCAGCAGAGUGAGACCUAUACCAUCCAUCAAUACCAGCAGAGUGAGACCUAUACCAUCCAUCAACACCAGCAGAGUGAGACCUAUACCAUCCAUCAAUACCAGCAGAGUGAGACCUAUACCAUCCAUCAACACCAGCAGAGUGUGAGACCUGUACCAUCCAUCAAUACCAGCAGAGUGUGAGACCUGUACCAUCCAUCAAUACCAGCAGAGUGAGACCUAUAUCAGCCAUCAAUACCAGUAGAGUGUGAGACCUAUAACAGCCAUCAAUACCAGCAGAGUGAGACCUAUAUCAGCCAUCAAUACCAGUAGAGUGUGAGACCUAUAACAGCCAUCAAUACCAGCAGAGUGAGACCUAUAUCAGCCAUCAAUACCAGUAGAGUGUGAGACCUAUAACAGCCAUCAAUACCAGCAGAGUGUGAGACCUGUACCAUCCAUCAAUACCAGCAGAGUGAGACCUAUACCAGCCAUCAAUACCAGCAGAGUGAGACCUAUACCAUCCAUCAAUACCAGCAGAGUGAGACCUAUACCAUCCAUCAACACCAGCAGAGUGAGACCUAUACCAUCCAUCAAUACCAGCAGAGUGAGACCUAUACCAUCCAUCAACACCAGCAGAGUGUGAGACCUGUACCAUCCAUCAAUACCAGCAGAGUGUGAGACCUGUACCAUCCAUCAAUACCAGCAGAGUGAGACCUAUAUCAGCCAUCAAUACCAGUAGAGUGUGAGACCUAUAACAGCCAUCAAUACCAGCAGAGUGAGACCUAUAUCAGCCAUCAAUACCAGUAGAGUGUGAGACCUAUAACAGCCAUCAAUACCAGCAGAGUGAGACCUAUAUCAGCCAUCAAUACCAGUAGAGUGUGAGACCUAUAACAGCCAUCAAUACCAAUAGAGUGAGACCUAUACCAUCCAUCAACACCAGCAGAGUGAGACCUAUACCAUCCAUCAAUACCAGCAGAGUGAGACCUAUACCAUCCAUCAACACCAGCAGAGUGUGAGACCUGUACCAUCCAUCAAUACCAGCAGAGUGUGAGACCUGUACCAUCCAUCAAUACCAGCAGAGUGAGACCUAUAUCAGCCAUCAAUACCAGUAGAGUGUGAGACCUAUAACAGCCAUCAAUACCAGCAGAGUGAGACCUAUAUCAGCCAUCAAUACCAGUAGAGUGUGAGACCUAUAACAGCCAUCAAUACCAGCAGAGUGAGACCUAUAUCAGCCAUCAAUACCAGUAGAGUGUGAGACCUAUAACAGCCAUCAAUACCAGCAGAGUGAGACCUAUAUCAGCCAUCAAUACCAGUAGAGUGUGAGACCUAUAUCAGCCAUCAAUACCAGUAGAGUGUGAGACCUAUAACAGCCAUCAAUACCAGCAGAGUGAGACCUAUAUCAGCCAUCAAUACCAGUAGAGUGUGAGACCUAUAACAGCCAUCAAUACCAGCAGAGUGAGACCUAUAUCAGCCAUCAAUACCAGUAGAGUGUGAGACCUAUAACAGCCAUCAAUACCAGCAGAGUGAGACCUAUAUCAGCCAUCAAUACCAGUAGAGUGUGAGACCUAUAACAGCCAUCAAUACCAAUAGAGUGUGAGACCUAUAUCAGCCAUCAAUACCAAUAGAGUGUGAGACCUAUAUCAGCCAUCAAUACCAAUAGAGUGUGAGACCUAUAUCAGCCAUCAAUACCAAUAGAGUGUGAGACCUAUAACAGCCAUCAAUACCAAUAGAGUGUGAGACCUAUAUCAGCCAUCAAUGUACCAAUGUAGCUGGGAGGGCAAGAUGUGAACAACAGUUUUAAAAUUUGACGAGUCAAUAUUUUGUUGUUGUGUUUAUUUUUUAUUGUUUUAGUUGUUGCCUUUUAAUAAAAAUACAAUAGUGAGUUAGAAAAUGUUUUUAAGCUCAAGGAAUAUGGUUAAAUAGCUCUUGAUAUAUUUUUAGUUUUUAACUGUAUUUGAGAAUGUUCCUUGUCUUCCCUUUGAAAGUGUAUUGAUAUGUGUUAAUGAAG